AAACCAACAGGGAUUGCCUUAGUAGCGGCGAGUGAAGCGGCAAAAGCUCAAAUUUGAAAUCUGGCGCCUUCGGUGUCCGAGUUGUAAUUUGAAGAUUGUAACCUUGGGGUUGGCUCUUGUCUAUGUUUCUUGGAACAGGACGUCACAGAGGGUGAGAAUCCCGUGCGAUGAGAUGCCCAAUUCUAUGUAAGGUGCUUUCGAAGAGUCGAGUUGUUUGGGAAUGCAGCUCUAAGUGGGUGGUAAAUUCCAUCUAAAGCUAAAUAUUGGCGAGAGACCGAUAGCGAACAAGUACAGUGAUGGAAAGAUGAAAAGAACUUUGAAAAGAGAGUGAAAAAGUACGUGAAAUUGUUGAAAGGGAAGGGUUUGAGAUCAGACUCGAUAUUUUGUGAGCCUUGCCUUCGUGGCGGGGUGACCCGCAGCUUAUCGGGCCAGCAUCGGUUUGGGCGGUAGGAUAAUGGCGUAGGAAUGUGACUUUACUUCGGUGAAGUGUUAUAGCCUGCGUUGAUGCUGCCUGCCUAGACUGAGGACUGCGAUUUUAUCAAGGAUGCUGGCAUAAUGAUCCCAAACCGC
rnacentral:rRNA from 1 species